CCCCUAGAUGUUCUGGGCCGCACGCGCGCUACACUGAACAGUUCAACAAGUCUUAACCUUGGCCGAUAGGUCUGGGUAAUCUUUGAACGCUGUUCGUGAUUGGGAUAGACCUUUGCAAUUAUGGGUCUUCAACGAGGAAUUCCUAGUAAACGCAAGUCAUCAGCUUGCAUUGAUUACGUCCCUGCCCUUUGUACACACCGCCCGUCGCUCCUACCGAUUGAAUGUGUUGGUGAGGAGCUCGGAUUGGCAGCAGUUGGUGGUUCGCCACCGGCUAUUGCUGAGAAGUCCUCCAAACCGCCCCAUUUAGAGGAAGGAGAAGUCGUAACA
rnacentral:rRNA from 1 species